AUGCUCACUUCGGCAGCACGUAGACUAAAAUUAGAAUGAUACAGAGAAGAUGAGCAUGGCCUCUGCGUAAGGAUGACACUCAAAUUCGUGAAGCGUUCCAUAUUAAA